rnacentral:misc_RNA from 1 species
UACGGAGGAUCCGAGCGGUAGCCGGAAUUAUUGGGCGUAAAGCGCGCGCAGGCGGCCUCUUAAGUCUGAUGUGAAAGCCCCCGGCUCAACCGGGGAGGGCCAUUGGAAACUGGGAGGCUUGAGUAUAGGAGAGCAGAGUGGAAUUCCACGUGUAGCGGUGAAAUGCGUAGAGAUGUGGAGGAACACCAGUGGCGAAGGCGACUCUUUGGCCUAUAACUGACGCUGAGGCGCGAAAGCGUGGGGAGCAAACAGG